ACACGUACCCAUCCCGAACACGACCGUUAAGCCCUCCAGCGCCGAUGGUACUUGGACCGCAGGGUCCUGGGAGAGUAGGACGUUGCCAAGC
rnacentral:rRNA from 1 species